CCGUGUAUCUUGUCGCUCAAUACUUUUAGGGUAUUUUGAGACUCGGGGACAACUUUGUUCGGCGGAUCGAGACCCUACACGACGGUUCGGUGGGUUUGACCUAGCCUACAUAUGAGAAAUCCUCAUAUAUGGUUAUAUAUGUUCCGUAAAUUGAAAAAGCAUGCAUGUUCAUACUAAAUGUAUUUAUUAUGAUUUUUAGAAUGCUUAAAAUGCAUAUGUUAUAUAUGAUGAAAUUUUGGACCUCUAUGUAGUAGAGAGUUGCUUGGGAGAUCUUUGGUUGCAUUUAGCAUUCUUUAUGAGACUUGGUUUCAUGCUUCUAUAGUAUAAAUGAGUUCGGAUUCAUGCAUUUAAACUUGAGUUUACUUGUGACAUGAAAGAUGACAAGAUUGCCAUUUAGAAGGUAUGUGAACUAGAGAGCUAAUGUCAUCAAGCGGCAUUGAGCUCGGGACAUGUGAGAACCUAGUGGAUAGGGCCAUUGAGGGAUUUGGAAUACAUGUUGAACAUCAAAUUGCCUAAGUGUCAUCAAGGGGCACUAGGCGUAGCAAAUGUUGAAACUUCACAUUGUGACUUAAACUAGAUCUUCGGGAUGCUAGUGACCAUACCAUGUUAGAGACAUGAGGAUUGGAUAUUUGAGACUUGGACUAUGCUUGCUUGCCAUUUGUGCUCAUUCGCACAUGCUUGUGAGGGUCGCUCCCUACAAGCCGGCACUCCGGAGUUAGCCUACGCGACUUAUGUUCGCUCGUGCGGUAUUGAGAAGCCUACGGGGUCGAGUGGGACAGACACAUUCCAAGAGUAGGGAUGUUGGGCUACCACAGGCACUUAGGCGGCACAAGCUGGAC
rnacentral:lncRNA from 1 species